GUCCAGACAGAAUCCUAACAAGAAGUGCUGAAUGCAGGAUCUUACAUACAGCAGGAGAUCAACAAGAAGGAUGUGCGAGCCACCAGCAGUUUAACCAAUUCUGAGAUGCAAGAAGUGUAUACGAUUGGAAAGUUGUCUCAGCCCCUACAGAGCUAAGAGAGCAAGGAUGCUAAAAAAGACCAGGGAGACUAGAGCCCAGAGACAAAGCCAUCCUCGUCAAAUAAAGAAUUUGCGUUUGACUUGAAAGCAUGCUCAGACAGACAGCUAGCCUAUGUACGUGUGGUUCUUCCUCCUGUUCAACAGGGCUGUGAUGUGAACAUGAGACUUGUGGUGCAUGCCAGUUGGGACAUCAAGCGUCCUCGAAGUUGUGGUCAAUCAACAUGGGACCAGCUGGGGCCUCCCCGAUGCCUACUGUGAGUGUGAAUGUGACCCCUGAUAACAUUGUUCAUUUGGUCACUUUUCACUUCCAGAAGCAACGAAGACAAAUAAUUGGCUUCCUAAGGAAGGAGACAUGAGUCUUGGAACAUU